UUCACCUGAGUGUAUUCAUCCAAGGGGUGG
rnacentral:piRNA from 1 species